AAAGAUCUAGUACGGUAAAAGAUGAGCAUGCGUUCUAUUAGCUAGAUGGUAAGGUAACGGCUUACCAUGGCAACGAUAGAUAGGGGCCCUGAGAGGGGGAUCCCCCACACUGGUACUGAGACACGGACCAG
rnacentral:rRNA from 1 species